UGGUCAGACAAUGAGGCCGAGAAUGCAAUGUCAUCUUUCUUUCUAUAUAUGAAGAAAAUAUGUUAAAAACUGCGCAAAUUCUAACAUAUUUGCAUAUUUUCUUAUGUCUGUUUGUACAAGAGGAAGAGUAUAUGGAUAAUGAAAACUUCGGUAAAAUACAUAAUAUAUACUAUGUGGUACUAACAACAACUUGCACGACAGAAGCAAGAUUUUAACCCGAAAAGUGGACACAAUUGCUACAGUUUUAAACUUAUAUCCCCGACAGUAUUCUAGAAAUGGAUAAAAAUGGAAAUUGUGAACUGUAAGGGGAAUUCAUCGAAGAAGAAAAAGGUCUACAACAGUAUGAAAAUGUGCCUGAGCAAGUUCUUACAUUGACUGAAGUGAGUGAAAAGGUCACUGAAUAUCCAGCUAUUGUGCGUGUAGUGCCUAAGGAAUAUGAAAUACCUGAUGCAAAAGAACUACCAGGAGGCGAGGAGAUAUUGCUUGAGAAACCAAAAUGGGUGCAAUUUGUUUUGGUUAAAAUUCUUGGUUUUGACGACAAACAACAGAAAAAGACUGAAAAAGGUGAAGAGUUCAUAGAACAGCGGAAUGAAUAUGUGGGACGGGAGAUCUUGGUACCCAUAGGUUAUCAAGGAAAGUUUAAACUCAUCAAUAAGACGGGACGAUAUGCUCGGUUUGUCUCUGUUGAUCAGGUAAAGUGUAUAUUAUAAGUGGCUAUUUCAUUUGUAUGUUAUUGAAGGUGUCAUUAAAAAAAAUAAACCUAUCAUAACAGCUCUAUAAUCAGUAUACACUUCAUAAUUUCGAUAUACUUUUCAGCUGAAUCAUGAUCGCAUAGUAGCUUUUGUUUUGUUUUGUUUUUGUUGUGUUUAACGUCGCACCUACACAAUUAUAGAUCAGAUGGCGACUUUCCAGCUUUGAUGGUGGAGGAAGACCGCGGAUGCCCCGCACUAUUUCAUCACGGGCGGGCACUCGCCUUCCGUAAGCCAGCUGAAUGGAGAAUUUAACGCUCCGAGUGAGUCCUGAACCCACAUCGCUGAGUGGCAACUGUUUGAAGUCAGCGGCCUUAACUACUCGGCCAAGGGGGGCCCCCCGCAUUGUAGCAUCAUAUCGACAAUUUAUUCCAACG